rnacentral:rRNA from 1 species
UACGUAGGGGGCGAGCGUUGUCCGGAAUCAUUGGGCGUAAAGAGCGCAUAGGCGGCCCGACAAGUCCGCUGUGAAAGUCAGGGGCUCAACCCUUGGAUGCCGGUGGAUACUGUCGGGCUAGAGUCCGGAAGAGGCGAGUGGAAUUCCUGGUGUAGCGGUGAAAUGCGCAGAUAUCAGGAGGAACACCGAUGGCGAAGGCAGCUCGCUGGGACGGUACUGACGCUGAGGCGCGAAAGCGUGGGGAGCGAACAGG